AUUGAACGCUGGCGGCAGGCCUAACACAUGCAAGUCGAGCGGAUGAAGGGAGCUUGCUCCUGGAUUCAGCGGCGGACGGGUGAGUAAUGCCUAGGAAUCUGCCUGGUAGUGGGGGAUAACGUCCGGAAACGGGCGCUAAUACCGCAUACGUCCUGAGGGAGAAAGUGGGGGAUCUUCGGACCUCACGCUAUCAGAUGAGCCUAGGUCGGAUUAGCUAGUUGGUGGGGUAAAGGCCUACCAAGGCGACGAUCCGUAACUGGUCUGAGAGGAUGAUAAGUCACACUGGAACUGAGACACGGUCCAGACUCCUACGAAAGGCAGCAGUGGGGAAUAUUAGACAAUGGGCGAAAACCUGAUCCAGCCAUGCCGAGUGUGUGAAGAAGGUCUUCGGAUUGUAAAGCACUUUAAGUUGGGAGGAAGGGCAGUAAGUUAAUACCCUGCUGUUUUGACGUUACCAACAGAAUAAGCACCGGCUAACUUCGUG
rnacentral:rRNA from 1 species